CAACGACUCACCACAUUGAAUACAGCAUUGAGCUAUACAUCAAACAUAACAGAUAUAAGUCCAUUGUUACAAUGCAGUAUGAGCAGCCAGGGAGUCCUUGGUUUAGAAUUAGGGAUUUAGAAUGGGAUCAAGAUUAUAUUUUUCACUUUCCAAAGAUAUACGUACGGGGUAUUGUUGCUGAGCUAAGAACAGCUAAGAUAAUUUUAUUACAGUGGGACACACACAAAAACUAAGCAUUAAAAGUACUAUAUGUAUGUAAAGACUUUAAAAUGAAAAUGAAUAGUACAAACUUUGAAAAAAAAUUGAAAAAAAUGGCACCUCAAUAAAGCUCAAAAUACACUGCUCAAAAAAAUAAAGGGAACACUUAAACAGCACAAUGUAACUCCAAGUCAAUCACACUUCUGUGAAAUCAAACUGUCUAUUUAGGAAGCAACACUGAGUGACAAUCAAUUUCACAUGCUGUUGUGCAAAUGGGAUAGACAACAGGUGGAAAUUAUAGGCAAUUAGCAAGACACCCCCAAUAAAGGAGUGGUUCUGCCGGUGGUGACCACAGACCACUUAUCAGUUCCUAUGCUUCCUGGCUGAUGUUUUGGUCACAUGUGAAUGCUGGCGGUGCUUUCACUCUAGUGGUAGUAUGAGACGGAGUCUACAACCCACACAAGUGGCUCAGGUAGUGCAGCUCAUCCAGGAUGGCACAUCAAUGCGAGCUGUGGCAAGAAGGUUUGCUGUGUCUGUCAGCGUAGUGUCCAGACCAUGGAGGCGCUACCAGGAGACAGGCCAGUACAUCAGGAGACGUGGAGGAGGCCGUAGGAGGGAAACAACCCAGCAGCAG